rnacentral:tRNA from 1 species
GUGGUGUGGCCAAGUUGGUAAGGCAAGAGAUUGCAAAUCCCUUAUUCCCCAGUUCGAGUCUGGGUAC